rnacentral:lncRNA from 1 species
CCAAUUACAGCCUCAUUGCAAGAUUGGCUGCUGAGCGAGGAAGGCUUUAUUCAGACUACAAAAAAGUGUCCUUAUUUGAGGAACGAUGUGGGAGAUGGACUGUUCUUACUGCUCUGCAAAAAGUAAAGGCAACCAGACAUUUCUGCAUGACCCAUAACUGCUUCUAGCUGAAGGAGUAGUAAAUGCAACAGGUGCAGUUACAAAGCGGAACGCCAUUGUGCCCUACAGGAGAGUCAGAAACCCCUGUUCUGCAAGAGAAGAGCAUGUUGCU